rnacentral:rRNA from 1 species
AUGCAUAGCCAUGAGCGCGGCUGCAGGGCGAAGAAGCAGGUGCAGCAACAUGAUAGCAGCAGCGACACUCCUCCAUUGUUCAAGGUCACCUACCUGAACGAGCACACGUGCCACCAAGUGUUUCCCAACGUGGACAUCACCAAUGCAAAUUUACCCGCGAGGAGCACUACGGCAAGGAAUGGCGCUGACUUUGAUCCUGCACGCCACCACCUCCACGUCGGCGGGAACGGCGAAUUAGAGGACAGAAUCAUGACCUCGACCUUCAGCACGGUCAUCGGCGGAGCUGCCCUUGCUGCUCCGUCGUUGUCGCCCUUGCCGUCGCCGCCUCCCGUGGAAGCGAGCCCGAGCGAUCCGGCGUCGUACGACACGGGUGGCGGACAGUCACCGAGCCUGCUGGACAUGAGCUUGUGCCUGGACGAGACGAUGAUGGACGAGAUGUAUUUCUCGUGCGGUUCGCCAUUUCCUCCGGUCGAGGCACCUGUAGCUCCAUCGUCGUUGUCGUCCUUGCCGCAGCAGCUACCCAUGGAAGCGAGCUCGAUUGAUCCGGCGGCGGCGUACAUGCCGUCCCGCGGUGGACACUCACUGAGCCUGGACGCGAUGAUGAUGGCGGAGAUUUUUCACUGGAGCAGCCCGCUAUUUUCUCCACGUUGA